AUUUUUGGCUUCUGCAGAAGAAGCUGGUGAGGCUUUGGGAUUAAGUUCCUCCCAGAGAUACUGGGCAUGGUGAGGAAAGGGAGUCGGAGGAGAGACGGAGAGGACGACGGACGUGCGAAAAGGUCAAUCACUCCCGGUGGUCCUGAGCCGCGAGUCGACAGGAUUCGGGUGGUCGCCAAGAAUUUCUGAGCUCCAACUUGUGCACGAAGAACUUGAACUUUAAGCUAACAGGAGAAGAUGAAUUUCAGAGUUGCAUACUGCAUACAUACUUUGAUAAUAAAUGAACCUUUGAACUCUUUUCUGAACAUUUGAGGUAAGACUUCCUCUGCAAAUCUUGAAGCUGUUAGUGAUGAGCACGGUGAAAGGUUUCACCAGGACAUUGUGGUCAUGGAGAAAAUAUGCCAGGGCAA